UUCUGGGGGUCUUCACGUUCCUUCCUUCCUGGGUAGAAUGACCUGGAGAGUCAGCCUGUGGGGUACGACUCAGCAUCCAGCCGGUGCUUGGUGGUUGCGCAGGCAGUGCUGCUGCACAAAACAGAUGAACAUGGACCUGUUGCUUCUCCUGCAAAGGACCUGAAAGGACGGUGUGGCUGGACGCAGCAGCAGACACUUCUUUGGAUGAAGCUGAGCCUCUGAAGCUGUCCCUGAACUUGAUAAGCUUUUCAUGGGAUAUGCUAGAUGAGGAAGUGAAAUGGGACUUGACUGGUUGUCAAGGGCUUCUCUGGGGAUUUUCCUUCCCUGGAAUGUUUCCUUUACCAUCAGGAUCCCAGUCAAACGCCACUGCCUUCAUGAAGCCUUUUUCAACCACCCAGAGCCCCCUUCUCUGAAUGCCUGGUAAACUGGGAACUGGGAUAAAAGUAAAGAAGGCUUCUCACACCUGGCAAUGUUGAUUUUUACCUGAGCCCUGUGAUCCUGG